rnacentral:rRNA from 1 species
CAUGUAGGCGGCUUAAUAAGUCGAGCGUGAAAAUGCGGGGCUCAACCCCGUAUGGCGCUGGAAACUGUUAGGCUUGAGUGCAGGAGAGGAAAGGGGAAUUCCCAGUGUAGCGGUGAAAUGCGUAGAUAUUGGGAGGAACGCCAGUGGCGAAGGCGCCUUUCUGGACUGUGUCUGACGCUGAGAUGCGAAAGCCAGGGUAGCGAACG